AAAAAUCAGUGGUCCAAGAUUUGAUUCUGCUAAGGAUCUUGUCUAAGAUAGGUUGGCAUUGAACAAUGGGGAUUCGUUUUGAACUCAAAGGGACUCCCGAAUAUCUGAAAGGUCAUUUGUGGCACGCAGGAAGGGCUCGUGCAGCUGCAGCAGGAUUUGUAAAAGGAAUUGAUCGCGACUU